GGGGGCGUAGCUCAGCUGGUUAGAGCGCCGGCCUGUCACGCCGGAGGCCGCGGGUUCGAGUCCCGUCGCUCCCGCCA
rnacentral:tRNA from 2 species